CAUUUUGAAASUUUUUYRAMCAGCGUCGUGCUGAGCGCGUUCCUCGGUCCAGGCUGGCCGCAUGACCCUGGCUAUAAGGUGCCCCGGAGGCACUACAUUCCAGGGSCCUUUGACCGGCCGCCAAACCGACGCUGGCCGCCCACGGGAGUACACCGGCACGAUGCCGGCUGACCCGGGGCGAGUCUGGCGCAAGCGCUUCCCUUUCACAUUUC
rnacentral:rRNA from 1 species